UACGGGGAGGGCAAGCGUUGUUCGGAAUUACGGGGCGUAAAGGGCUCGUAGGUGGCCAACUAAGUCAGACGUGAAAUCCCUCAGCUUAACUGGGGAACUGCGUCUGAUACUGGAUGGCUUGAGGUUGGGAGAGGGAUGCGGAAUUCCAGGUGUAGCGGUGAAAUGCGUAGAUAUCUGGAGGAACACCGGUGGCGAAGGCGGCAUCCUGGACCAACACUGACACUGAUGAGCGAAAGCCAGGGGAGCAAACGGG
rnacentral:rRNA from 1 species